AAAGCCUGAUCCAGCAAUGCCGCGUGUGUGAAGAAGGCCUUCGGGUUGUAAAGCACUUUUGUCCGGAAAGAAAUGGCUCUGGUUAAUACCUGGGGUCGAUGACGGUACCGGAAGAAUAAGGACCGGCUAACUACGUGCCAGCAGCCGCGGUAAUACGUAGGGUCCAAGCGUUAAUCGGAAUUACUGGGCGUAAAGCGUGCGCAGGCGGUUGUGCAAGACCGAUGUGAAAUCCCCGAGCUUAACUUGGGAAUUGCAUUGGUGACUGCACGGCUAGAGUGUGUCAGAGGGGGGUAGAAUUCCACGUGUAGCAGUGAAAUGCGUAGAGAUGUGGAGGAAUACCGAUGGCGAAGGCAGCCCCCUGGGAUAACACUGACGCUCAUGCACGAAAGCGUGGGGAGCAAACAGGAUUAGAUACCCUGGUAGUCCACGCCCUAAACGAUGUCAACUAGCUGUUGGGGAUUCAUUUCCUUAGUAACGCAGCUAACGCGUGAAGUUGACCGCCUGGGGAGUACGGUCGCAAGAUUAAAAC
rnacentral:rRNA from 1 species